ensembl:lncRNA
GCAGCUAAAAACAACGCUGCGGUGCCGGUCUUUCGGUGUAGUUAUUUCUUGUCACGCUUCAGCCUUGGAAAAUAUUUGUUUUUUCACAACAAACGUUUUCAAUAUAUUCAUUCAAGAAAAGUCACACCUUGGGAGUUUUAUUGAAGACUUAGUUGUUAGCUAUCUGUCUAGUUUUGCAUGAGAACGCAACUCAAGGGCAGAAUAGUGAAAAAACAUCACAGCGGGCUCAAAGCUCAAGAAUAACCACACAUGGUGGUUUUGUUUCUACGUUCAUCAGCCAACAAAGCCUCUGUUCCUAGGGAAGACCAGCAGUCUACUGUACAACAAGAAGAGCCAAGAGUCCGACAGCGAGAGAUGGAGGAGCCUCUUCAGCACAUUGGGAAGAAAUGAACAGCAGCAUGGUGGAAAUGGAAAACAAGCCCACUUCUAGUCAUACACACAAAGCUUCCCUGAGUCACAAGUGUCACCAGACCUCAUCAAGUACCUCCUACACCCGUGAGAUGGUGAGUUCAGGACUCCUGAAGUUUGAUGAUCGCCCUGAAAAUUAUUGGGCAUGGAAAGCAUCCUUUCUCAAUGCGACCAGAGACUUGAAUUUAUCUGCCAGGGAAGAGUUAGAUCUAAUUACCAAGUGGCUAGGGGGGCAGCGUCGUCUGAGAUCUGUCCAUAUUUUCAACGCAUCAGCAGGGCUUAACAUGGUCUGGCAAUGACUAGAAGAGUGCUAUGGUACACCCGAUGUGAUCGAGAAUCCACUGUUGAAGAAAAUGGAUGAUUUUCCAAAACUGGCUAACGAAGACAAUCACAAACUAAGAGAACUAGGUGACAUUCUUCUCGAACUGGAGUGUGCUAAAGUAGAAGGGUACCUUCCAGGCCUCGCUUAUCUGGACACAUCUCGGGGGGUAAACCCUAUUGUAGAGAAACUUCCAUUCAGUUUACAAGAAAAAUGGAUUGCACAGGGAUCCAAAUACAAGGAGGACUAUCGGGUAGCAUUCCUACCAUUCUCGUUCUUCUCGAGAUUCAUCAGGAACCAGGUUGAAAACUAGAAAUGACCCCAGUUUCACCCUCUACACCUCAACUAACCAGGUGUCUAUGAAAAGUGAGAAACCUGCCAGGUACAGCAGCAAGACACCUGUGACUGUAUACAAAACAGAUGCGUCAUCUGAGGCCUCAGACCACCAAACCAAACCCAGUAAGACAAAGGUUGAAAACCCUGACCGUCACUGCCCAAUACAUAACAAGCCUCAUCCUCUUAAAAAGUGUCGUGGGUUUAGAUACAAAACUCUAGAUGAGCGCAAAUCAUAUCUCAAAAGACAAUGGCAUUUGUUUCCGAUGUUGUGGGUCAACUCAGCACAGAGCUAAAGACUAAGGUGUCAAGGUGUGUGAUAUGAUGCCAGACGAUAGGAUGGAGAUUCCCUCCCCCGACAUUGUGUAUCAUCCCCAUCUGCAACCAGUUAUGGACAAAAUUCCAGCUGCGGACCCAGACGCUCCCAUCCUCCUGCUCUUAGGACGAGACAUCUUAAGGGUACACAAGGUACGAGGGCAAAUCAAUGAGCCCCACGACACUCCUUAUGCACAGCGACUCGACCUCGGGUGAGUCAUCGUGGGUGAGGUCUGUCUGGGAACGGCUCACUGACCAGCCAAUGUUAAUGUCUUCAGGACAAACAUACUUCAAAAUGGUUGCACAUCCUAUCUGAGCCCUUUCCCUGACAUCAUCCAGGUAAAAGAGAACGACAACAGCGUAGCUCAGAAACACAUCUCUCCCUCUACAUUGCACUCGACAGAUCCAAGCACAACUGUGAACACAGACAGCCUGGGAUGUUCAGUGUUCGACAAAACACAAGACGAUGAUAAACCAGCACCAUCAGUGGAGGACAAAACCUUCUUGGACAUUAUGGACAAACAUAUUUUCCAGGAUGAUGGCUCCACUACCCUUUCGCCCCACUAGACGUCGCCUUCCCAAUAACAGGGAGCAGUCCAUGAACCAUCUCACAUCACUUCGCAGGACUUUAGACAAAAAGCCUGACAUGAAGCGUCAUUUUAUUGACUUCGUGCAAAAGAUGCCGGAUAACGACCAAGCUGAACCUUCACCGCCACUAGAGGGAGACAAAG